rnacentral:rRNA from 1 species
GGGCUUCGCGCGAUAAGAUGAGCCGAUGUCGGAUUAGCUAGUUGGCGGGGUAAAGGCCCACCAAGGCGACGAUCCGUAGCUGGUCUGAGAGGAUGAUCAGCCACACUGGAACUGAGACACGGUCCAGACUCCUACGGGAGGCAGCAGUGGGGAAUAUUGGACAAUGGGCGCAAGCCUGAUCCAGCCAUGCCGCGUGGGUGAAGAAGGCCUUCGGGUUGUAAAGCCCUUUUGUCCGGAAAGAAAAGCAUCGGGUUAAUACCUCGGUGUUCUGACGGUACCGGAAGAAUAAGCACCGGCUAACUUCGUGCCAGCAGCCGCGGUAAUACGAAGGGUGCAAGCGUUACUCGGAAUUACUGGGCGUAAAGCGUGCGUAGGUGGUUCGUUAAGUCUGAUGUGAAAGCCCUGGGCUCAACCUGGGAAUUGCAUUGGAUACUGGCGGGCUAGAGUGCGGUAGAGGAUGGC